UUCUCGUAGAUUUAGGAACCUAUUUUCUGCCCUCUCACGGCGGCAACAGGGGUUCGAAUCCCCUAUGGGACACCA
rnacentral:tRNA from 3 species